GAAAGGUCAGAAGCUCAAUGGCGCC
rnacentral:piRNA from 1 species